UUUAUGAAUCGGGAAUGGUUUGUGCCUCUGUAUUUUUAUUUUUUUUUCUGCAAGCAUGCAAUCAUCUUUUGUAUUUCCAUCAGCUGGAAUUCUCAAGCUAAUAUAGUUAGGGAAAUUUUAGGAAAUUACAAAUCACUUUUAAUAAUAAGAGAUUCAGAUUUUUGCAGGUAAAAAAAAAAUGCUAUUUGCAUGCACUAAAAACAUUAAUUUGGAUCCGAGGCUCGCAGUGUGGUACACAAGUAAUUCUAGCAGAGACUCUAGGCCAACUGAAUGCUUCCUGAAUUGUGUUCAGCAGGAUUAUUGCUGUCCUGGCCAAGCUGGUUCACACUGCCAUCUGGUGGAUAAAAUAAAUGCAGCAUCUAGGGAAACAUAAAAACUGCAUGGUAUUCAAAAUCAAAUGUAACUGAAGGCAAAAGUCUACUUCUCAAACAACUAAAUAAAAAUGUAUGAAAGAAGUGAAUAAAGAAACAUGCUAUUUCAUAAGCCAAAGUUUUGUACAACAGAUAAAAUAACAUUAAAAAUAACAUAAACAACAAAAACUGACAAUAAAAUCAUGGCAAUAAGUGCUUAAUAAAACACAAAGUUUUACAUCUUUUUCAAAGUGCCUAAAGAAUGAGAAAAAAGUCAAAGAAGCAAAAUGUUCCACAGCUUUGAAGCCACACACUGAAAGACAUCAUGGCCCUCAGUUUUUAUUGUUUAUGUUACU